rnacentral:rRNA from 1 species
GAUGAACGCUGGCGGCGUGCCUAAUACAUGCAAGUCGAGCGAACGGACGGGCAUCUUGCUUCACUGCUGUUAGCGGCGGACGGGUGAGUAACACGUGGAUAACCUACCUAUAAGACUGGGAUAACUUAGGGAAACCGUAGCUAAUACCGGAUAAUAUUUUGAACCGCAUGGUUUAAAAGUGAAAGACGGUCUUGCUGUCACUUAUAGAUGGAUCCGCGCUGCUUUAGCUAGUUGGUAAGGUAACGGCUUCCCAAGGCAACGAUGCAUAGCCGACCUGAGAGGGUGAUCGGCCACACUAGAACUGAAACACGGUCCAGACCCCUACGGGAGGCAGCAGUAGGGAAUCUUCCGCAAUGGGCGAAAGCCUAACGGAGCAACGCCGCGUGAGGGAUGAAGGUCUUCGGAUCGUAAAACUCGGUUAUUAGGGAAGAAGAUAUGUGUAAGUAACGGUGCACAUCUUGACGGUACCUAAUCAGAAAGCCACGGCUAACUACGUG